CACCAGCGCCUCGAGUGGGGGUCGCGAUUAUUGGGUCUAAAGCGUCCGUAGCAGGCUUUGUAAAUGCUUUGUGAAAUCGGCAGGCAUAACCUGUCGGCGCGCAGAGUAAACUGCAGAGCUCGAGACCGGGAGAGGUUGGCAGUAUUCCUAGGGUACCGGUAAAAUGGGUUAAUCCUGGGAGGACUACCGAUGGCGAAGGCAGCCAACCAGAACGGUUCUGACUGUGAGGGACGAAAGCUAGGGGAGCAAAACGG
rnacentral:rRNA from 1 species